UACGUAGGGUGCGAGCGUUAAUCGGAAUUACUGGGCGUAAAGCGCGUGUAGGCGGAUGGGCAAGUCUGCUGUGAAAGCUCCUGGCUUAACCGGGAGUGGUCGGUGGAAACUGCCAAUCUGGAGGACGGUAGAGGUAGGUAGAAUUCCCGGUGUAGUGGUGAAAUGCGUAGAGAUCGGGAGGAAUACCUGUGGCGAAGGCGGCCUACUGGGCCGGACCUGACGCUGAGACGCGAAGGCGUGGGGAGCGAACGGG
rnacentral:rRNA from 1 species